rnacentral:rRNA from 1 species
CAGUCGCCGCGGGAAAACGUAUGUCGCAAGCGUUAUCCGGAAUUAUUGGGCAUAAAGGGCAUCUAGGCGGCCAGGCAAGUCUGGGGUGAAAACCUGCGGCUCAACCGCAGGCCUGCCCUGGAAACUGCGUGGCUAGAGUGCUGGAGAGGUGGACGGAACUGCACGAGUAGAGGUGAAAUUCGUAGAUAUGUGCAGGAAUGCCGAUGAUGAAGAUAGUUCACUGGACGGCAACUGACGCUGAAGUGCGAAAGCCGGGGGAGCGAACAGGAUUAGAUACCCCGGUAGUCCCUGUCUCUUAUAC